UGCCUAGCAAGCAGUUUCCUUGGGAAAAGUCAUGGGGUUCAGAAUGAUGGGUGAAAGAAUGACAUGAGAAGCAGAGGCAAAGGCAGGAGAAGGAUACUGAAAUGGAUGCUGAAAAGGAUGCUGAGAGUGAAUGGAGGAAAAGAAGGUUUGAUCAAAAAGGAACAGAGAGCCCUUAUUUGUGGAUUCCAAUAUUUCUAAUAAGAAGACUGAAACAGAAUUUAACAGAUGAAUCAGCUACAAAACAUUAUUUUCCAGAACAACAAUACAUGGUCAGUGGAUUGUGGUGACCUCAGGAGCAAGUGUGCAUUGAAAGUUUAUGACCACGUGAUGGGUGAACAAAGAAGUCCCUUGCUUCAAAGAGGAUGCCCCAGCAAAGGGAAAAUUUCAGUGUGCCCAGUGCCAUCUGAGAAGUGCAUAUGGGUCAUUACAGGACUGUGUAAGAAGACUAUAGGGCUCUGGCCAAGUGUACAUUGAAUCAUUUUUCUCUCCUCUCUGUUAACAUCUCUAAAUCAGGCGGAAAUGGUGCUUUCCCAUGGCUCUCCCCUGCAACAGAUGCUUUCUCCAUAGCACAAAGGAUCCUUAAAUUGUUCUCCUCUAAACACAAUGGCUCCAUGACAUCCAUUUCUGUGAACACAUUGCUGCACUUUUUUCUAACAUGUUAUUUUCCCAGUGGCUAUUUAUCAUCUGCUCUGUGUUUGCCUAAUGAACUAAAAGUGCAAGGCAAGGAAAUAAACCUGAGCAAAACAACAGAAAGGCAACCAUGAACCAUUGAUUUAGCAGAGGAGAAGAGGGGAAAAAUAGAAAGACCGUAGAAACUCAGCUACCUCUGAAUACCAGGAAAUAGCAUCUGUGUUUCUCAAGAAGUUAAGAGCACCAACUGUGCCAAGUAGAGGGCACUGGAAGGGGGAUGAGCCAGCCACAUUUUAAUAGAAAGAAAAGAAGAAAACAGAGAGAAAGAAGCUAUUCAUACUCCAUGUGACCACACACUGUAGCUUCUUAUAUUGAGACAUGAAAUAAUCAGAGUACUCCAAUGCCUAGAACUACUCAUGCUAAUCCAUUCAGACUUCCAUAAGAAAUACCAUAGAGUGGGGGCUUUCCCAAUAGAAAUAUAUCUGCUACAGUCUGGUGGUGAUGCAAAACAUCAGUAGAAAACAAUAUAAAACGUGGGACUAAAAAGUUAAUUCCUGGAUCCACAUCUUGUAGAAUCAGAGUCAACUGCAGCAGCAUCUAGAGCCGUGAGUGCCUUAGGCACACCAUCAAGGCUAUCAGAAUGGAUAGAAUGCCGGGCGGUGGUGGCGCACGCCUUUAAUCCCAGCACUCGGGAGGCAGAGCCAGGUGGAUCUCUGUGAGUUCGAGGCCAGCCUGGUCUCCAAAGCGAGUACCAGGAAAGGCGCAAAGCUACACAGAGAAACCCUGUCUCGA